GAUGAACGCUAGCUACAGGCCUAACACAUGCAAGCCGAGGGGUAACGAGAGGAAAGCUUGCUUUCCUUGUCGACGACCGGCGCACGGGUGAGUAACGCGUAUCCAACCUGCCCCCAACUAGGGAAUAACCUUGCGAAAGUAAGACUAAUACCCUAUAAUUUCCUCAGAUGUCAUCUGACGAGGAAUAAAGAUUUAUCGGUUGUGGAUGGGGAUGCGUCUGAUUAGCUUGUUGGCGGGGUAACGGCCCACCAAGGCAACGAUCAGUAGGGGUUCUGAGAGGAAGGUCCCCCACAUUGGUACUGAGACACGGUCCAAACUCCUACGGGAGGCAGCAGUGAGGAAUAUUGGUCAAUGGGCGGAAGCCUGAACCAGCCAAGUAGCGUGCAGGAUGACGGCCCUAUGGGUUGUAAACUGCUUUUAUACAGGAAUAAAGUUAGCCACGUGUGGUUAUUUGUAGGUACUGUAUGAAUAAGGACCGGCUAAUUCCGUGCCAGCCGCCGCCGUAA
rnacentral:rRNA from 1 species